GGAUGUGAGGGCGAUCUGGCCGUGAUACCUGUCACCCCACUGAUCGCCAGGGCUGAUUUCAGCUGAUCUGGCUGGCUAGGUAGGUGUCCCCUUCCGCCCUCAACACUCCAUGUGUGUCCCUUCCAAAGCGGUGUGUUCAAAGAGGACGACCACCUUGGAUAGACGACCGUUCCUGGGCCAAACGUUGAGUAGCUGCACACGCUGCUACAACUUCCAAGCAAGCUCUCAACAGUAUCGAUGACGCAAAGAUGAAGUUCUAACCAACCAAGUGGCAGUGAGGGGAAGACAGGUCUAGUUCCCUUAU
rnacentral:snRNA from 1 species